AGUGUCUUCUUGGGUACGCGGCUGUCCCGGGACUUGAGUGUCUGAGUGAGGGUCUCCCCUCGAGGGUCUUUCAGGUGCAACUUCACCUAUGUGGCUAGGCAAGGCAGCCCAGUUAGGAGAAAGGGAUCCAGCGGCAGGCAACAGAGUCAGAUACUGACCCUCUCUUUUUAGGAGUCCCACGUGAAGACUGAGCUACUCAGCUGUUCCAUGUGCAGAGGGCCUAGGUCCCUUCCAUGCAUGCUCUCUGCUUGGUGGUUCAGUCUCUGUGGGUCCCGAGGGGCCCAGGUCAGUUGAUUUUGUAGGAGGUUUUUUUUUUUUUUUGUGGUGUCCUUGAUUUCUCUAGCCCCUUCAAUUCUUCCUCCUCCUCUUUAAUGGGAUUCCCCAAGUAUAUAAUUGUAUAAAUCAUAUGUAUCAUUUAAUUUUUUACAGGUAUUUUUUUUAGCAAAAUUGAUUUUAAAAUAUGCAAAGCAGGACAAAAAUUCCUGCAAUGUAUUUAUGUGUGUGUGUGUGUGUGUGUUGUGUUUGUGCAUGCAUGUCUUCAUGUAUAUAUAAGAGGGUGUUGGGAACAGAGGACAACCUGAGGUGUCAUUAGUCAGGAGCUGUCCUUGAGUUUUUGGGGGUUUAUUUAUUUAUUUAUUUAUUUUUGUUUUUUUUGCUUUUUUGUUUUUUUGUUUUUUUUUUUUUUUUUUGAGACAAGAUCUCUCAAUGCCCUGGCUUGGAGCUUUCCAGGGAGGCUUAGCUGGCUUAUGAAUGAUCCCCAAGGAUUUUCCUCCCUCCACUUGCAAUCUGGUGUUGGGAUUACAAGUUCAUGGUAGCACAUUCAGCUUAACGUGGCUUCUAGUUACUAAACUAAGGUCUUCAUGUUUAUAAAGCAAACACUUCACCAACUUAGCCCUCUCCCCAGGCCCUCCACAAUGGGUACAUUUAUGCCUAUGUCUUAGCAGAUUUGUAAAAUGAUUUGUUUUGGUUUUUGUUUGCUUCUUUUUGAGACAGGGUCUCCUAUGUAUCCCUGGCUGGACUUGACCUCACAGAGAUUUAUCUGACUCAGGAUCCCAAGUGCAGAAUUAAAGACAGGGUUUCUUCAUGUAGCCAUGGCUGUCCUGGAACUCACUCUGCAGACCAGGCCAGCUUCAAUUUCAGAGAGCAUCCUGCCUAUGCCUCCUGAGUGCUGGGAUUAAAGUCCUGGUUUCACUUGUCUGUUAUUGAUAUAGUAUAUUGUGUGAUCUCUUAGCCUAAUUAUCCUUUCCUAACCUCAUAAUUUUACUGACUGUCCUUGAUCAUGUAUUCAUCAAAAUGAAUUUUAAAAUAAAUGUAUUAAUUACUCCUUUUGCUUCUUUUUCUGGUAGUGAGAUGUUUAUGUGUUUUUGGUGUGCUUUAGUGACAGGGUUUCCCUUUGUAUCCCAGGCUGGAAUGGAAUUAACUGCAGAUCAGGCUGACCUUGAACUCAUGGCAGUCCUUCUGCCCUAGCCUCUCAGGUGCUGAGAAUUCAGGCAUGAGAUACCAUGCCUGUGAGUUCCCUGGAGCUAGAGGUACAGGCUGUUGUAAGCCAUUGGUGUGGGUGCUUAGAGCUAAACUCUUGUUCCCCAAGUCGAAUUUUAAUAAUACAUUCAGUUUUAUUUGUACGCUUUCUAAAGCUUAUCUCAGGUCUACUGGUAGUCAUGCUCUCUAGGGCCCAUUGCUCAUUUAGUGGUGUAUACUGAAUUAUGAACUCCUAGGGCAAACACAGUUAGGAUCUUUCAAGACCAUUCACAUAUUUUAUCAGCAUAUUAAUAGGUAACUUUGUUUUAUAAAUGUUUCUGUUUGAAGGCACCAUAUGUAAUAAUACUGUUACUUCAUCAGUUUUAAAUCCAUAACAACACUAACUCAUACCUGAUUUAAGCUCAGCUAAUGUGCAUUUUCUCCUUAAAUCAUAUCAUAUCCUUCAUGUGGUCAGCAAUAUUAGAUACCACUUUGCCAGUAUAUUUGUUUUUUUUUUUAAUCAGUGAAAUCAACAAUAAAAAGCAAAAAAAAAGGGGGGGAUAUAUUGCCAAAUGGAUACUCAUUUCCUGUAUAACAAGAAAGAUGAAGAUUACCUUGUUUGAUUGCAGAUACGAGUGUGUACACUGCUGGUUCGGUUUUCUUGUGCAUUAUGCUGUGUAUGUUUCAAAAUGAUUGUAAGAAGAUCUGUUAAUUUGGCGUCACAAAUAAACUUUAAUGACCAGUCAAAUCUUUAA